CAGAGUUUGAUCAUGGCUCAGGACGAACGCUGGCGGCGUGCUUAACACAUGCAAGUCGAGCGAUGAAACUUCUUCGGAAGUGGAUUAGCGGCGGACGGGUGAGUAACACGUGGGUAACCUGCCUUGUAGAGAGGAAUAGCCAUUCGAAAGGAUGAUUAAUACCUCAUAAUAUUGUAGCUUCGCAUGGAGCAACAAUCAAAGGAGCAAUCCGCUACAAGAUGGACCCGCGGCGCAUUAGCUAGUUGGUGAGGUAACGGCUCACCAAGGCGACGAUGCGUAGCCGACCUGAGAGGGUGAUCGGCCACAUUGGGACUGAGACACGGCCCAGACUCCUACGGGAGGCAGCAGUGGGGAAUAUUGCACAAUGGGGGAAACCCUGAUGCAGCAACGCCGCGUGAGUGAUGACGGUCUUCGGAUUGUAAAGCUCUGUCUUCAGGGACGAUAAUGACGGUACCUGAGGAGGAAGCCACGGCUAACUACGUGCCAGCAGCCGCGGUAAUACGUAGGUGGCAAGCGUUGUCCGGAUUUACUGGGCGUAAAGGGAGCGUAGGCGGACUUUUAAGUGGGAUGUGAAAUACCCGGGCUUAACCUGGGUGCUGCAUUCCAAACUGGGAGUCUAGAGUGCAGGAGGGGAAAGUGGAAUUCCUAGUGUAGCGGUGAAAUGCGUAGAGA
rnacentral:rRNA from 1 species